rnacentral:misc_RNA from 1 species
UGUGCCUUCACCUAGAGUUGCUCCUGAAACAGAGAUACGAAACGAAGCCAUGGUCAUAAAAACUCCAAAACCAUUUACUCACCAAUUAUGGUUCUUUUGAAAGUGAUUGGCCUUCAAGCCUAUUGCGAAAGUAAGGAAAGAUUGCAUCAAUUUGAGAGGGGGAUGCUGUCGCAAUUAGUCAGGCUAAGCCUGCCUUAAUAUUUGACCCAAAACUUGGCAGGGCAGGGUCAUGGCCACUUGGGGUUGGGCUGAAACGUUUGGCCCUGGAGCUAGGGGAUUUUGAGCUACCACAGGCUCACCUUGAAGCUUAGCCCACCCAAAAUUAGCCCGUCCCCCAUAAAAUCCAAAGAAACUUCUGCCGAGAGAUAAAAUCAUACUAUCACCUGUUAAUGUUUUGUAAGAUUUUCCUUUUUUUUUGAAUCAGAAAUUCUUAAGAGGAAUAUCAGUUAGACCUUUCUUAGAUGUAAUGGAGAUUGGAAUAAUGUAGUUUAUGGUCUACUUAGUCAAAUUCAUCUUCAGAAAACGCUUAAAUCAUCUCCCAUACCUAUACUGAGGGGGAGAACUAGAAAAUAAUCUUCAGGAAAGUCAAAAACAAAUAUUAAAAUGAAACUAAAUGAAAUUUUAAUAAAAAUGUAUGGAGUAAAAUAAAAGUAAAAAAUAUUAAUCGAUCAAAGUUAAAUACAAAGGUUGAAGAAAAAAAUUAGAGGGACAAAUGGUAUUUUUGUAAACAAAUAAAUUAAAAUUUAAAGAUUUUAGGGGGGCAAACAGUAAAUUUAUGAGAAAAAUAAUUAAAAUUUGUGGGUAAAAUUAUAAAUUUUAAAACUUCUGGGUGGCACAGCCCCUCUUGAUCUCUACGUGGCUUCCGCCCCUGCCUAUGCCUAACUAUUUUUUUCAAGAAAAUAUAUAUAAUGGUUUAAGAUAUUGAAAGACUGACCUAAAGAUGUCCUAGUAGAAACAAGGGAGGAAAAUAACUUGAAGGUAUUUAGGAUUACAAUUGUCUAUAUAUAAUUCUAUUUGUCUAUCAAUCACCCUAUUUAUCCCUAAGUGUCUGCAAUCAACAAUGGCCGCUAAUGGUGAUGAUUUUUGAAAGAGAGGUUUCUUAAAAUCUAUGGAUUUCACUGAAAUCUACUGUUAGAUUGUUGUAAAGAAGGACAAAAUCCAUGAAAUUUGAAAAAUCUCUCAUUUUUUAAGGUUUUAAAAUUCCACCUUCUAUUUUUUAAAAAAAAAAACAACUUAAAUAAAUGAGGAAACUCAUUAAUAAUUUGAUAUUUCAAAAUUUCAUCCCCCAUAAUUAUAUAAUACUGCAUAUUAAUAAUUAUACAACUAAUAAAAACUAUAAUAUUUAAGUGAACAUUUUCAAAAUGCCUUAGUAUCUGAUUUUAAAUUAAUAAUUAAUUCAUUUUUUAAAAUUUUAAAAACUAAUAAAUGUCAAUAAUUAACAUAUAUUUUGUCUAAAUUGAUUCAACAUGCAUUCUAAUUAAAUCAAAACUAUAGUUAGAUAAAUGGCUCUUGCAUUACAGAUUUGAUAAAUUCUGAAGGUAUUGAUAAUAUUCUCCAUUAUAAAAUCUUAUAAUGAGAUAAAUUCUAUCAUGAUAUCUCCUGCAUUACAGCUUUGUACGAUUUCAUAAGGUAGGACUGAGACAAACUGCUCAGAAUUUUAGGGAGUUUUUUUUCCAGGAAAUUGUAAUGCAGGCAUGGCAAUGAACACUACAAGAAAAUUAUAAAAUAUCAAGUUGCCCAAGGAGGGUACUACCAAACCCUACAAGCUGCAGCUAGCUACACAGGACUGACACGACUAUUAUGAAACCCUUCAAGUACAAUAUUCAAGAAUCUGAUCAGUUUGCCUUUCCUUUCUAUGAUUAACACAUAAAUUUAUACUGAUAAUUAAUGAUUAACAAGGUUCAUGCAUACAAAGCUAGAAGUAGAAUACAGAUGAUAUUCAGAAUCCUUCCAAUACAACGUUACCGGUUGUUGGGGGUUAGUGGUGGCGAUGGUGGUGAGACCCUCCACCGGCCUAUCUAACUACUCUUCAAACUAUUUAUAUAAAUUACUAAUUAUAAAAUUUUUCUAUUGGUAGGUCCCUAGCUCACUGUUGCAUUGCAUCCACUUCCUUCACGGAUUAUUCUCAAACUUACCAGAAACCCACAGGCUAUUCAUAUCCUUCCUUGCCUACCAAACCCAUCAUUCACCAAAUCCCAAAUAAACAAAAAUGAUACAAGAAAACUUUCUUAAUUAGGUUCAAUCUUAUCUUCUAAAGAAAGCUGCUACUUCUAGUGAUGAUCAUAACCUUGUAUUAACUUGUAUGUAUGUCCCAAGCAAACAAAAUAAUUACUUGGGAAGAACAAUUAAUUGUUCUUAAUUUUCAUGGGAGCAUUUAACACCUAAUUAAGUUGAUGAGGGUAAGAAUUAGUUUUCAAGGGAUUAGCAUUAACACACAUGAGAAGGAGAUAGGAAGAAGGACAAACCAGUGAGAGCUUGUAAAGUGUUU